rnacentral:rRNA from 1 species
AGAGUUUGAUCAUGGCUCAGGACGAACGCUGGCGGCGUGCUUAACACAUGCAAGUCGAGCGGAAAGGCCCUUCGGGGUACUCGAGCGGCGAACGGGUGAGUAACACGUGAGUAACCUGCCCUGGACUUUGGGAUAACCCUCGGAAACGGGGGCUAAUACCGGAUACGACACGCGUCUGCAUGGACUGCGUGUGGAAAGUUUUUCGGUCUGGGAUGGGCUCGCGGCCUAUCAGCUUGUUGGUGGGGUGAUGGCCUACCAAGGCGACGACGGGUAGCCGGCCUGAGAGGGCGACCGGCCACACUGGGACUGAGACACGGCCCAGACUCCUACGGGAGGCAGCAGUGGGGAAUAUUGCACAAUGGGCGGAAGCCUGAUGCAGCGACGCCGCGUGAGGGAUGACGGCCUUCGGGUUGUAAACCUCUUUCAGCAGGGACGAAGCGUAAGUGACGGUACCUGCAGAAGAAGCGCCGGCCAACUACGUGCCAGCAGCCGCGGUAAGACGUAGGGCGCGAGCGUUGUCCGGAUUUAUUGGGCGUAAAGAGCUCGUAGGCGGCUUGUCGCGUCGUCCGUGAAAACUUGGGGCUCAACCCCAAGCUUGCGGUCGAUACGGGCAGGCUAGAGUUCGGUAGGGGAGACUGGAAUUCCUGGUGUAGCGGUGAAAUGCGCAGAUAUCAGGAGGAACACCGGUGGCGAAGGCGGGUCUCUGGGCCGAUACUGACGCUGAGGAGCGAAAGCGUGGGGAGCGAACAGGAUUAGAUACCCUAGUAGUCC